AAUUAAUUAAUUUAAAUUGAUUCACAAUUUUUGUGUCUUAGUAAUGCCAAGUAAGAGUAAUUAGGAGUUCAAUUAAUGGCUAAAAAUGAAAUAAAAAAGAAAGGAAAGAAAAUGUUUUUCGUCUUAUUUCGAUUCUGGGCCAAAACCAAUUCCAGUUGGCCCAAAUUGCCCAUUAAUCUGCCCCAGCCCAUCUCCCCAACCGACCUGCCUGGCACAAUCCUCUGUUAAAACCUAGCCCCACCUUUCAUUCUCAAAAGUGAUUAGACCCCCUCCCCCCCAGGACGCUAGGGCCUGUUCAGCGCCAGAAUCCGGCGAGUCAGCAGCCACCGGCUAUUGCUGCUAGUUGCUCUGUUCCCACCUCUCCCGUUCUUACCUCUCACUAACGCCAUAAAGAUGGACAGAUCCUCACUCCAAGAAAUUUUACAGAAAAAAUCAUUUUCAGAACUCCCAAAAUUCAUCACUUAGAACUAUAGAUGCACACUCUUCAUAGCAUUGACGAGAGGCUAGAAGAAGAAGCUUUUAGAAGUUAAAUUUUAAAAAUAAAUAGAUCUAAAAGGAAAAGAUCUUCCGAAAAUCUUGGUCUUCAAAGGAAAUUGUUGUUGUUUUUCUGCUGGACUGUGUUCCUUUUUAUAUUGUUGGGUUUCGUUCAUCAAUUGUUCUGCAUUUUUGGCUUGUUUCAAGCUCUAUUUUCAAAGCUGUAGAUUUGAUUUGGAAAUUGACUGCCUUCUCGUUGCUGUUCUAUUGCUGUGGAGUUUAAUUGUUCUUUAACUCAUCCGCUCUUAGUUCCUAUCAGUAAAUAAAUGAUUUGAUAGUGAAGAUGCCUGGACACAUCAUGCUCUCUGAGUUUAUGACAUUGCAGUAGCGGAUUAUGGGAGAAAAAAUUGGGACAAGUAAAGGUGACUGUUGUAUAAAGAAAACGUUUGGUAAUUCGGGAUUUUAGGACGAGUGAUCCUUUGGUUAUCAGAUUACCAAAACCAAAGUUAUUAAUUGCUGCCUUAAUCCUGUUUGGAAUGAAGAAUUUCAUUCUCUAUCACCGAAUCCGCUGAGUUUCUCAAAUUGGUAUAGGCUUUUGCCUAGACUUUUAUAUUGUUAGCAGUUGUAUUGUCAUCUUGAAUUCAGUCAAAUGACGUGCUUUCUUGUUGCAAAAGUUUUGCAUAUUUGCAUUACUUUAUUUUGGAAUACUUUUGGUGUAGGUCUGUUCAAUAGUUACGCUGCAUGAGUUACUCUUUC
rnacentral:lncRNA from 1 species